rnacentral:tRNA from 1 species
GCAGGAAUAGCUCAGUUGGUAGAGUACCCUCGAAGCCCUUAGGGGUGGACCUUGGGAGGUCGGUGGUUCAAUCCCAUCUUCCUGCACCA